UUAAGUGACGAUAGCCUAGGAGAUACACCUGUACCCAUGCCGAACACAGAAGUUAAGCCCUAGAACGCCGGAA
rnacentral:rRNA from 2 species